GCUACCUCGGCCGGUUGGCGAGGAGCAGCAGACCGUGAAGCCUCGGUGUCAUACUUUGGAUCAAUGGUGAGGCGGCGCGAGGACGAGGUCACGUGACCCUCCGGGAAAAAAAAGGUGACAUUGGCUGAUCCGCCGGCGCUGGCCAGACAGUCGGCACCAGGUCGCCCAGCUGGAGGGGGAACCGGUCUGACCUGAGGCGGGCAGCCCAGAGCUUUAAACCUGAGCUCCCAGCUAACUGGGGACUGCCUGGGCUGCCAACUCUCAGGAAGUAGCUGCUGGCUGCGAGAAAUUUGCUGUAGAGUGCCAGGUGACGUCAUGUGUGAUCUGCUGCAUCCCUCUGCUCUGUGCUGAGAGACAGCAGCGGCAUCCACAUCCCAGUCCCAACUCAUUCAGUUGGUUUUAAGUGGUGUACAGAGUGAGCGCUCCUCACGUCCACCCUGCUCCCCGGUACAGGCAGCUGCAGACACAGACCCAAGGUGAAUCUGAGUGAGACAGAUGCAGCUGCCCAGAGGAAGAAAAGCUUUGCCAGCUCCACCUCUGAGAAAUUCCUGAAGUAUACUACAAUCUGCACUCCCCUCCGCUGCUCCUCUGUAUGCUUCUCUGCAUCGGGGUCUGCGGCUGCAGGUGGAAGAGGAAGUGUCCGGACCAGCCCGCCUCCACCUCCCGCCGCUGUGUCACUGUAUUUCAUCAUGCAGAAGACUCACUCGUUUUGCUUGAGGUGAGCUGACGUUAGUCUCAGUGCAGGAGGUCAAAUCGAUACAGCGCUAUUAAAAUGGGUUAACUUCCUGACAGCUGUUUGGUGACGCCUACAAAUAACACCAAACCAUGAGAUGUAUUGCCACAUGCAGUAUCAGACAGUGGAGUUUAAAUUAAGGCUAUAAGCAAAACACAUCUUACAGUAUAAAGACUAAAUCCUUCUGAAGACAUGUCUUCAUCGUAUCCAGCCUCCAGUGUGGACUUUGUUAAUCUCUAUCAACUCCAUAAAACAGUCU